rnacentral:lncRNA from 1 species
AGUAGAUUAUAAACUUGAGGUGCACAGAUAGGUGAAUGGACUUUAUGACUUGCAGAUAGGGUCCUUUAAAAAUUUUUUUUUUGCUCAGAUGGUGUUUGCAUGUCUGCAAUUAGCAAAUAAUAUUUCACAUAAAAAAUAUGCAUUUCUGACUUCCACUCAUCCCACCAAGAUAACAAAUGACUGGAGUUGAGAUAAGGUGGUCCCCUCUGGCAAUGUGUGCUUUCUGGAUUUCCUCCAAUGUUUCCACCUGGCCAGUUUUAGUCGUUUAUGGGAUCUAUUCAGCACUGCAAGCAUUCGAGUUUGUAAAUCCUGGUGUAACAGUAUCAUGUCUCUUCACUCAUGUAUAUGGAUGGUAGCCUGUGUGAUGUGUCAGUGCAUUCCCCUGAACUAUUCCCCAACACACCACAUGCUCUGUAUCUAUGCAUCUGUGUCCAUUUUCACUGUGUGUGACACACACACAGAGACAGACAGACACACACACACACACACACAUGCACACGCGCGCGCGUGGUAGAAGAAUUUGCCUUUGCCUUGUUCUUUUCUUUCCCUGCCCCCUCUCACUUAGCUCUCUGCAUAAUCCCUCUCUCGUAACCUUCAUCCCCACGAUGUAAGAAUUUAGCAUGCUCUCUACCCAACCGUAUUAAUAAAGCACUUAAAAAUAUGCAAUUUUAUUCAGGAUUAUUUAUCUAACUAUCUCUACUGAAGUGCUACUUCUGCAGCUCUUCAUUCUCAGCAGUUUCCCUGGGGGCAGCUUUGGGAGUCCGAAAACACUGACUGAACUAGAAAGCCAGGGAUGCCAGCUGCACACUCAAGUGUUCCCAGCCUAGUCAUCGCAGCAGGGGGCAAAGACAGGGCACUAACAGUGGAACCACGCCUUCUAUGGACUUAGCAUAGAAGAGCUUGGGAAGAAGAAGACUGUGUCUAAUUUUGCUCAUUGUUGUUUGUGAACAAAUGGUAGAUUCCCAGUACAUAUUUUAUAAAAGGGUGAAUGAACUUCCUACUGGUCAGAACUGGAGAUAAUAUUCAUCCCAAAGAGAAAAUGGGAAAACUACAGUGGUUGCAGUUCACAUAUUUGGAGGGAAAUCAAGGGCUUCUUUUCCUUUCCUUCUCCCACCAUUAUAACUAAAAGAGUUCGAUAAAUGUUUGCUUAUUGAGAUCCUAACUCAUCAUUGUGGCUCUCUUAACUUGAGUAUCUGCUGUGUAGGAGUUCUAAAUAGGUGCUGUCAUUUAAUUUAAGUUCCUCAGGGCCUCGUUGAGAUAGGCAAUAGCCACCAAAUUUCACAGAUUGGGAACAUGGAAACCAGAGAGGUUAAGUCAUUUGUCCAAGGCCACACAGCUUUCAAAUCAUGGACACUUGAUUCAGAUCUUGGCCAGCAAGGAUUCUGAGCCCUCUUUUCCCUCUGCACUUUAUUGGCUCACUGUAUUCCGUCAAAGCUCAAAGCAGGACAACAUGAAGACCAAUAGUCCCAAGAUGAAAUGUGCAAGAGGUUAAGUGGAUUUGACCAAGGUUCCCCCUACAUUCAUUCUGGGGUGGGGGAUGGAUUCAAAACCAAACCCCUUGGUCAUAACUUCAUGUUCACUUGAAAAUGAAAAGUGAGUGUUUUAUAGAUCCAUAGCUUCACAUUAUCUAUGGUAUUGUGAGAGAAGGAAGAUGGAUGGAGUGGGGCAAAGAGUAUAAUAAUCUUGUGAGGCUUUAUAUGGAGGGGUCAAGUGAGGAGAAGACGAGCUGGAAGGACGGGGAAGGCUAAGAAAGAAGAACUCGUAAGAGAGAUGUAUCUAAACUAUUUUAAAAAAUGGUUAAGGAGCUCAAGGAGAAAUAUAAAGAAGGAAGCACUCUAAAAGGUCAGAAAAAGUACUCAAGUAAGAAGCAAAGUAAUUUAAACAUAAAAAGAAAAACCUGCAGAUACUUUUUUCAUGCUUCAGAAAGCAUCUGUCUUAAACCUUGCAAUGUCCCAAUAAUUCAUUGCAAUCUUCUGCAAGGCACUAAAGUAUUUCACAGAGAUACUUUUUUUUUCUUCCUAAACUGAUGAAUCCCCGAGAUGGGUCCAAAUUCCCUUAAAAAUGAAAUGAAACUUUAAACUUUCUUUACAUUAACCUUAAAGAUAAUGAUGUGUUGGAACUUGCCCUGUAAAGGGCAUAUGGAGAUGGUCUGGUUACAAUUUCCUAUCUGUGUAGGUGACUUCAUUAUUCAGAUAUUGAUAUAUGAAAAUAUUAGUGCCAUGAGAUGAAACGGAAAACAGGGAAAGAAAAUGAAAAGAAGCACCCUCUUCUCACCAUCCUUUUUCUCCUCCAUUCAUUGGCUUACUCAUUCCACUGUUAACUGGGCAUCUCCUUUAUGUGUCAGUCACUGUAUGAGCCCCUUGAGAAAUAAUUGUACAAUAAGCAAAAAGAAACACAGUACCUGCUCUCCUGGGGCUCAAUAUCUCAUUAUCUCAGUGUGGGGGGGGGCAAAAAAGGAUAUAAUAAUUACUCUUAUGUGUAUUGAGAAAGGGUCUGCAUCCAUACCCCAUUUCUGGUCCAACACAUCAGCUUCAACGGUCACCCAGCCUGGCUUUCAGACUUAUAGGCUGGGGGCACUGGCUCAUUAUGUUAAGGAAAGAGGUGGCCCAUUAAGGCCAUAAUGAAGCACUGCACGGCUGACUUAGCCCCCAGUCAAUGUAGGAAAGGAAAGCUUGGCUGCUUUUAUUUCCCAAACCAACCGAUGGAGUUGGGUUCUCCCAGUGGUUUCUGAUGUGUUCUUUCUAGAACUUGUUUGAGAAAAUCAGUCAAGGCACUAAAUACAGAGGAGAGAGCCACCUGGAGUCGAAACUGACCUCCAGCUCACUGAAGCAAGCCAGCAUGAAUUUACACUGUUGGAUUUCUGCUCUCUGAACUUAAACUUUCUCCCCACUUUUUGAUCAGUUUGUCUGUACCCAAUAGAAUUGCUGUUGGAGAGGGCAGGUCAUUUUAUUCCUAGACAAUUGAAAGUUCCUCAUUUUAGGGAAACGAGUUUGUUUUUCCCAAAGUCACUGGCUGUAAUUCUACUCUCUGAUAUGACAAGCAAUCAACCACUCUUCUUUGGAGCUGUGGGGUCCAAAAGACUUAGCUCUAAGCCCAGCAUCAGCAUCUCCCAGCUGUGGAACCUGAGCAAACACUCAGAGGCCUUUCUAUUAAAUGGAGAGUGUUCUUCAUGAUCUAUUUCUCCAGAACAUAGUGUGAAGUAAGUGUAGGUAAUUGGGGCUAUGUGGCUUUUAGCCAUAUGGUAGCCAAGAGACAACCAUAGAUCAAAAUUCUCAUCUAGCCAACAUAAUAACCUGGGAGUGUUUGUUUUCUAUUCUCUGGGCAAAGAGAAAUAGAAGGACUUGUAUUGGUUUGACCUGGGAAAGUGCACAUCCUUAAACCAAUCAGAAUGAGCCAAAAAUGGACUACAUGGUUGGUGGAACUAUGGUGUUAGAGAAUCAGGAAGGGUAUGGAUGAGAGGAAAUAUAUCUAUGCCCUCUACUCUGUGGACUCUAAGAGCAGGCAGUUUACCCAGAUCACUCAUCAUCCUAGCCAAAGUUUUAAAAGGCAAAAAAGGAGUUCCUCACAAAGUUAAAUGUACAAUUAUGGAAUUACCAUAUGACUCAGCAGUUCCCAUCCUAGGUAGAUACCCCCAAAGAACUAAAGCUGGAAAUUGAAACAAUUAGGUGUCCAUCAUUACUCACAAGAGCCACAAGGUGGAAGCUAGCCAGAUGCCCAUCAAUGGGUGAAUGAACCAAAUCAUGGUUUAGUACAGAUAAGGGAAUAUUAUUCAGUCCUGAAAAAGGAAUGAAGCACUAAGACGCUACAAUGUGGAUGAACUUCAAAAACAGUAUGCUGAGUGGAAGAAGCUAGAUUCAAAAUAUUACACAUUGUAGGCCUCCAUUCAUAUGAUAUAUUCAGAACAGAUAAACCCAUAGAAAUAGAAAACAGAUCAGUGGUUGUCAGGGACAGUGGGGGAGGGAGGAGGAAUAUCGGCUUAAUGGGUACAGGGCUUUCAUCUGGGAUGAUGAAACAUUUUGGAACUAGGCAGGGGUGGUAGUUGCAUAACAUUGUGAAAUACACCGAAUGCCACUGAGGUGUUCACAUCAAAAUAGUUCAUUAUAAAACAAUCAAGGAGACCUAGGGUCAAGUCUUAGGGGAAAUAGGUAACUUGCUUGAGCCACACCUUUAUUUUGCAAAAAGGGCAGGGAAUGCCUCUGACUUUGAGUGAUGGUGAGAUUCAAACAAGCUAACGAUUCCUGGCAACUGCUAGUUGCUCAAUAAAUAACAAACAUAACCGCACCCUCGCCCCAACACACAUAUUUGCACAUUGACACUCAAAUAAUUCCUCAUCAGUAGGGUUACUUUGAAGAUGGACAUAACAUAUGUCAGGAACUUAUCUGCCAUGUGUUGUUAGCACGUAGCGUCAAGUCCACAUCCCCAUGUUUCUCAACAAUUAUUUUCUUUUUAUCUCCCCAUCGCUUAGGGUCGCCACCACUCUUUCCUGGAUGACCACAAAGAACUGCAUUCUCUGCUUGUGUUUUCUUUUCUACCACUGGAUUCUUCUCACAGCAGCCAAAGAACCCAUCUCAGAAACCACAGAGGAGUUUCCCUACCCAAUGAAAUCCCCUUACUGCACUUACGGUGAAUUCCAACCACCUUCGUAUAAAACCCUCAACGUCUGAUUCCUGCCAACCUCACUAAAUUCAUCCUUUUUUCCUCAGUGUGACCCCACCAGCGCCACCUUGUCCCAUGCUGGCUCUGUCCCUACUGAAAAGUCACUUCUUCAAAGCUGUUCUCUAACCAUCCUCUCCAAACCAGGGUCUCUGCAAUUGCUUUAUUCUUUGCCACGGCACCCUGUUUGCUUGCUUCAAAACUCGUCUUACCCUCCGCACUUUUUAAAUCGAAUUACUUUUUGCCCUUUAUCUUAUUCCUGAAGGCAGCUCUGCUGACUAACAGUGAUUGGUAUAUAGCUAAUGCUUCCUUCAGUGGUUGUUAAAUGAGAUCCAUAUGGGGAACCAAUUAUAGUCCUGAACAUGCUACAAAGUCUGCUUUGCCUCCAAGGACACAUCGAUGGAAUGUUUUCAGGGAUACACCUGUACUUAGCUUUCUAGAUGUCCCCUCUCUUUCUCUCUCCUCUGCCUUUUCCACAAGGAACGUGACUUGAGCACAAGGUGACAACCUGGUGAACUUUGAACCCUUCUUUUAUUUCUCAUUGUAUGUCUCUGGGAAACAUGAUGACAUCUGAGAAUUCAUUCCAUGACAGUUUUCCCUUCUUUCUCUCGUUUAUUUUGCCCAACACCAUCCUCUGAAAGGAAAAGCUAAUUGACCUCAAGCUUCAUUCCGGCUGAGCUUAGCCAAAAGUCAAUCACUGCCCAACGGCAGCUAUUCGGACUGUUUAGCCAAUGGACAAAUUUCCAUCUUGACUGGUGUUGCUGGUCCUAAGAGAAUAGAUGUGAAUGUGCUGAAUUCUAUUUUGAUACAUUUCAUUUUUGGCAAACCUGAGACAACCCCAAGGAGCCAUAUUAUUAUGAAAAGAGAGGGGCAGUGUGGAAAUAUUCCAUGGGAAUGUUUAUUCAGUUUCCAUUGCAUUCAGCUCUGUUGAGGGGGUUGCUGCUCCCUGCCCUUGUCAGAUAUGUGGAUCAUGACAAUCAAAUUGCAACAUGCUGCAAAGGGACUGCAAGUCUUCUCAUUGCUGAAGGCAAGCCUUCCCAGGCCAAAUAGAGGGUAACCCUUCUGGGGGAAAAAUAGCUCCUCAGUGGCUUAGCUUCCAGCAAGUGUGUGUUGCAUGUAACAUGUCAGAGUGAGCUAGGACAGGAAAUCCAGUUGGUUUUGGUUCCAUCCAUUUGCCAACAAAACCAUGAGGCAAGAAGGACUAUCCUUGGAUGGUGAAAGCUAAGAGAGGAAGGUGCCAUCUGUGAACUAAGCCUCCCCCCGACAAAAAAAAAGAAGGGGGGAACAGCCCCAAGCUUUUGUUCUCUCAUCCUGGAAUAUAACAUAUGUUCUGGGUCAUAGCCAGCACUUAAAAAUGAGCUUUUCUAGAUGCAAAUG